rnacentral:rRNA from 1 species
UACGGGAGUGGCAAGCGUUAUCCGGAAUUAUUGGGCGUAAAGCGUCCGCAGGCGGUCUUGUAAGUCUGUUGUUAAAGCGUGGAGCUUAACUCCAUUUCAGCAAUGGAAACUGUAAGACUAGAGUGUGGUAGGGGCAGAGGGAAUUCCCGGUGUAGCGGUGAAAUGCGUAGAUAUCGGGAAGAACACCAGUGGCGAAGGCGCUCUGCUGGGCCAUAACUGACGCUCAUGGACGAAAGCCAGGGGAGCGAAAGGGAUUAGAUACCCCUGUAGUCCUGGCCGUAAACGAUGAACACUAGGUGUCGGGGGAAUCGACCCCCUCGGUGUCGUAGCCAACGCGUUAAGUGUUCCGCCUGGGGAGUACGCACGCAAGUGUGAAACUCAAAGGAAUUGACGGGGGCCCGCACAAGCGGUGGAGUAUGUGGUUUAAUUCGAUGCAACGCGAAGAACCUUACCAGGGUUUGACAUCCUGCGAAUCUCUUGGAAACGAGAGAGUGCCUUCGGGAACGCAGUGACAGGUGGUGCAUGGCUGUCGUCAGCUCGUGUCGUGAGAUGUUGGGUUAAGUCCCGCAACGAGCGCAACCCACGUCGUUAGUUGCCAGCAUUUAGUUGGGCACUCUAGCGAGACCGCCGGUGAUAAACCGGAGGAAGGUGUGGAUGACGUCAAGUCAUCAUGCCCCUUACAUCCUGGGCUACACACGUACUACAAUGCUACGGACAAAGGGCAGCAAACUCGCGAGAGCUAGCAAAUCCCAUAAACCGUGGCUCAGUUCAGAUCGUAGGCUGCAACUCGCCUACGUGAAGGAGGAAUCGCUAGUAAUCGCAGGUCAGCAUACUGCGGUGAAUACGUUCCCGGACCU